ensembl:lncRNA
CCUUUAUCAAAAAACUCAUUUAAUUUGCUUUUCAGUCCUGAAUGAAGUGCCAUUUCCUGCUGAAAGUAUCUAAAAUUCAACUUUGAAAUUAUAUAUUUAUUUAUGUUUGGUAAACACUGCAAAAUGGUGUGGGAUUUUGUUAAGGUAGCUCAAAUUUUUCUUACCUCUUAUAGUAUAAGAAAUUUCUAUUAUAUAUUUAGGUACCUGUGUUCUCUGGAGUGCUGUAAAACAGACAGUGAUAGACCACUGAAAGUAGAGGCCCAGAAUGUGGGCAUGGAGAAAGGACUGGAGUUUCAGUUGAGGUUGUUAAUGGAAAUGGACUGAGGAUUUGCUCAAAAUCACUGAAUCUUCCUUGUGAUAACCUGGACUAGAUGCAAUUACAGGAUUUGUAGAGUCACACAACUGUGAAGGUAUCUGUGCUUCUUUCUAUUCUCCUGAGCAAGACAUGAAGUUCAUAGAGAUGCUAGAUAUGCAUGAAACAGCAUCUGACAAAUUCAGCUGAAAAGUGACCUGCAGUUUUCCAUUUCUGUAAAAUCUUUUCUAGUUUUGUGACACUGCAAGAGAAAUAACUAGACAAUCAC